rnacentral:tRNA from 1 species
AGGGAUGUAGCUUUGUGGUAGAGUGUGUGCUUAGCUUUCACUAGGUCCUGGGUUCAAUUUCCAGCACCCCUC